rnacentral:rRNA from 1 species
GAAGCGUGCGAUUGGAUUGCACGUCUAAGCAGUAAGGCUGAGUAUUAGGCAAAUCCGGUACUCGUUAAGGCUGAGCUGUGAUGGGGAGAAGACAUUGUGUCUUCGAGUCGUUGAUUUCACACUGCCGAGAAAAGCCUCUAGAUAGAAAAUAGGUGCCCGUACCGCAAACCGACACAGGUAGUCAAGAUGAGAAUUCUAAGGUGAGCGAGCGAACUCUCGUUAAGGAACUCGGCAAAAUGACCCCGUAACUUCGGGAGAAGGGGUGCUCUUUAGGGUUAACGCCCAGAAGAGCCGCAGUGAAUAGGCCCAAGCGACUGUUUAUCAAAAACACAGGUCUCUGCUAAACCGUAAGGUGAUGUAUAGGGGCUGACGCCUGCCCGGUGCUGGAAGGUUAAGAGGAGUGGUUAGCUUCUGCGAAGCUACGAAUCGAAGCCCCAGUAAACGGCGGCCGUAACUAUAACGGUCCUAAGGUAGCGAAAUUCCUUGUCGGGUAAGUUCCGACCCGCACGAAAGGCGUAACGAUUUGGGCACUGUCUCAACGAGAGACUCGGUGAAAUCAUAGUACCUGUGAAGAUGCAGGUUACCCGCGACAGGACGGAAAGACCCCGUGGAGCUUUACUGUAGCCUGAUAUUGAAAUUCGGCACAGCUUGUACAGGAUAGGUAGGAGCCUUUGAAACGUGAGCGCUAGCUUACGUGGAGGCGCUGGUGGGAUACUACCCUAGCUGUGUUGGCUUUCUAACCCGCACCACUUAUCGUGGUGGGAGACAGUGUCAGGCGGGCAGUUUGACUGGGGCGGUCGCCUCCUAAAAGGUAACGGAGGCGCUCAAAGGUUCCCUCAGAAUGGUUGGAAAUCAUUCAUAGAGUGUAAAGGCAUAAGGGAGCUUGACUGCGAGACCUACAAGUCGAGCAGGGUCGAAAGACGGACUUAGUGAUCCGGUGGUUCCGCAUGGAAGGGCCAUCGCUCAACGGAUAAAAGCUACCCCGGGGAUAACAGGCUUAUCUCCCCCAAGAGUUCACAUCGACGGGGAGGUUUGGCACCUCGAUGUCGGCUCAUCGCAUCCUGGGGCUGUAGUCGGUCCCAAGGGUUGGGCUGUUCGCCCAUUAAAGCGGUACGCGAGCUGGGUUCAGAACGUCGUGAGACAGUUCGGUCCCUAUCCGUCGUGGGCGUAGGAAAUUUGAGAGGAGCUGUCCUUAGUACGAGAGGACCGGGAUGGACAUACCUCUGGUGUACCAGUUGUCGUGCCAACGGCAUAGCUGGGUAGCUAUGUGUGGACGGGAUAAGUGCUGAAAGCAUCUAAGCAUGAAGCCCCCCUCAAGAUGAGAUUUCCC